GGUGCAAGCGUUAUCCGGAAUCACUGGGUUUAAAGGGUGCGUAGGCGGCUAUGUAAGUCAGGGGUGAAAGCCUACAGCUUAACUGUAGAACUGCCUUUGAUACUGCAUAGCUUGAAUUAGGUUGAGGUUGGCGGAAUGUGGCAUGUAGCGGUGAAAUGCAUAGAUAUGCCAUAGAACACCAAUUGCGAAGGCAGCUGACUAGACCUUAAUUGACGCUGAGGCACGAAAGCGUGGGGAGCGAACAGGAU
rnacentral:rRNA from 1 species